GACGAACCGUGCGAACGUUAUUCGGAAUCACUGGGCUUAAAGCGCGUGUAGGCGGCCCGGAGCAUCGUCGGCUGAAAUCCCCCGGCUCAACCGGGGAACGGGCCACGAGAUGUCCGGGCUGGAGGGGGGUAGGGGGAGCCGGAACUCACGGUGGAGCGGUGAAAUGCGUUGAGAUCGUGAGGAACGCCCGUGGCGAAAGCGGGCUCCUGGACCCCGCCUGACGCUGAGACGCGAAAGCGUGGGGAGCAAACAGG
rnacentral:rRNA from 1 species